rnacentral:lncRNA from 1 species
UUUCAUCUUCUUUUCUGUUUAAUAAUAUUCUCUGGUUUCCAGAGACUUCUCUCAGACGCUCCUCCUUCUCUCUAGAUUCUCUCUCUACAUUCUCCAUGAUUUUUUGGUUUAAUCUCAAUGUUUACAUGGUAUCAGAGCCUCGACGACGAUCCGACUAUGUUUUUCUGUAUAUCGUUGUCUUGGUUGAAGUCUCUUUUGAGAUUUUUGGGGGUGUUUCUGAGACCUUGUGGUCGAUAACGAUUCUGAUCUAAAUCGGAUGCCUUUCUGAGUUUUUCUUCAUGAUAUCUGAGUGUAUUUUCUUCACUCGAACGUUCUGGGAGAUUUUCUGAUGAUUUUUGGGUAAUUUUUGGGUGACCUAUCGGCUUCUAGGGUUUCUGGUGGUUUAACCUAGAGUUUUACUGCUAUCCGGUGGCUCGAUUCUCGGCUUCUAGGGUUUCUGGUGGUUUAACCUAGGGUUUUAUUGCUAUCCGGUGGCUCGAUUCUCACUAAGUGGAUGUUUUAGGUGACUUUCCGACAUCCCUGACCAUACUUCCAGUAAGGAUUUUGACGGUUGCACCUUGGGUUUUGUACCUAGGAUUUUCUCUGUUUGAUUGAAGGCCGAUCUUCUCCGAUCGCGAAGAAGGAGGGUAGCUCUUUCCUUAUCUUGAGUAUUGUAUGCUUUGUGUGUGAUUAUCUGGCUCCGUAUGUGAAUAUCUGGUUUUGUGUGUGAAUAUCUGGUUUGAUUAUGGCUUCUAAUACGAAUGCUGGUGCCUCCGCCUCGAUAGAUUCUACCAGUCCCCUUUUUGUAUAUCCUCUGAUGUCCCUGGGGUCUCUCUUGUUCCCACUUCCUUCUCGGGUAGUGG